rnacentral:rRNA from 1 species
AGCUCCAAUAGCGUAUAUUAAAGUUGCUGCAGUUAAAAAGCUCGUAGUUGGAUUUCUGGUUUGGUGCGCCUAGCCCGCCACGGUUUCGUGUGUGAGUGUUGGGACGUUCCUGCCAUCCUUCUAGUUCCUUGUCUUGCCCCUCACGGGGUGGAGGCAGUGGGCUAGAUCUUUUACUUUGAAAAAAUUAGAGUGUUUCAAGCAGGCAUUUGUCGCUAUGAAUACAUUAGCAUGGAAUAAUCAUGUAGGACUUCGGUCUUAUUUUGUUGGUGUUUCUAAGGCUGAAGUAAUGAUUGAUAGGGAUAGUUGGGGGUGCUAGUAUUCAGUGGCCAGAGGUGAAAUUCUCGGAUUCACUGAAGACUAACUUAUGCGAAAGCAUUCACCAAGGAUGUCUUCU